UACGUAGGGUGCGAGCGUUAAUCGGAAUUACUGGGCGUAAAGCGUGCGCAGGCGGUUAUGCAAGACAGAUGUGAAAUCCCCGGGCUCAACCUGGGAACUGCAUCUGUGACUGCAUCGCUGGAGUGCGGCAGAGGGGGAUGGAAUUCCGCGUGUAGCAGUGAAAUGCGUAGAUAUGCGGAGGAACACCGAUGGCGAAGGCAAUCCCCUGGGCCUGCACUGACGCUCAUGCACGAAAGCGUGGGGAGCAAACAGG
rnacentral:rRNA from 1 species